AUUUAUCAAAGGAUCUAAAUACUCUUCCAAAUAUCGUGAAAUGGAUUUAGUUUAAUAUUAACCAAUAGCUUUUAUACGGGAUAACAAAUGAAAUCUUGCAAAUUUUAGAGUUUUAUGAAACAAGUUUUUAGAAAUGAAUUUGAAAUUGAUCGCGAAGAAGGCCAAGAUUGUCUUAAAUGACGUCACACCACGCGAAGCAGCUGUGUUUGUUUAUGACAGUCAAUUGUGUUUUUCAAUAAAUAAUGAAUUCCUUCGUAUUAUAACUACUGUAGAGUGCCUCAAUGUGAAAGUUCAACGAUAAAAACGCCAUACAAAUUAUUCAUAUACGUUCCAAAGAAUAAAGAAAUACGAAGAAAGUGGUUAAAAAUGACAAGGAGCAAGAUGCUCUUACUUUAUCAACUAAUUCCACAAUUUAUUUCUGUGAAGAUUAUUUUGAUUUGCCAAACGAUUUGAAUAAUUUUACAGAGUAUCAUGUUAUGGGUAGUCUCUAAAGUGUGCAUGAGUUUAAGUUGUAUACCAACAAAGUUCAAAUGCCAAGAAGAUAGAAGGAAGCGGACGUGCAGCUAUAAGGAACGAUCAUAUAUGUUGAAAAAACAAAGGAUAUCAAUAAUCACAGUGUUUAAAUGAACCAGAAUAAAGUAAUACUUUAAGUUCAUCUGUCCAGGAUACUUCUAAUACAA